rfam:TPA: Bos taurus chromosome 8, whole genome shotgun sequence.
UCCCUGGUGGUCCAGUGGUUGGGACUCCACACUUCCACUGCAGGAGGCACAGGUUCAAUCCCUGGUCAGGGAA